UAGGGAAUCUUCGGCAAUGGGGGGAACCCUGACCGAGCAACGCCGCGUGAGUGAAGAAGGUUUUCGGAUCGUAAAGCUCUGUUGUUAAGGAAGAACGAGUGUGAGAAUGGAAAGUUCAUGCUGUGACGGUACUUAACCAGAAAGGGACGGCUAACUACGUGCCAGCAGCCGCGGUAAUACGUAGGUCCCGAGCGUUGUCCGGAUUUAUUGGGCGUAAAGCGAGCGCAGGCGGUUAGAAAAGUCUGAAGUGAAAGGCAGUGGCUCAACCAUUGUAGGCGUUGGAAAGUGUUUAACUUGAGUGCAGAAGGGGAGAGUGGAAUUCCAUGUGUAGCGGUGAAAUGCGUAGAUAUAUGGAGGAACACCGGUGGCGAAAGCGGCUCUCUGGUCUGUAACUGACGCUGAGGCUCGAAAGCGUGGGGAGCGAACAGG
rnacentral:rRNA from 1 species